rnacentral:rRNA from 1 species
GACGAACGCUGGCGGCGUGCCUAAUACAUGCAAGUCGAACGCAGUGGGGACGGGUGAGUAACACGUGGGUAACCUCCCAUCAGAGGGGAUAACACUUGGAAACAGGUGCUAAACCGAUACUGAUGGAUGGACCCGCGGUGCAUUAGCUGGUGGGUGAGGUAACGGCUCACCAAGGCCACGAUGCAUAGCCGACCUGAGAGGGGGGUCAACCCCACUGGGACUGAGACACGGCCCAGACUCCGACAUGAUUCAACGAUAACUAAUCUUCGGCAAUGGACGAAAGUCUGACCGAGCAACGCCGCGUGAGUGAAGAAGUUUUUCGGAGCAUAAAACUCUGUUGUUAGAGAAGCGGUAUCUAACCAGAAAGCCACGGCUAACUACGUGCCAGCAGCCGCGGUAAUAC